AAGCCGGGCUCAUGGCAGGCAGCGCAGCGGCAGGCCCGGGGCUAUCCGCCCACCCACGGCCCACGCCCGGCCCCAGCCCCAGGGGGUGAGCACUGCUGGGCCCAUCGCUCUCUGUCCCUGGCUUCUUCUCAAGGUGAGAGUCGCCAGGACCGGAGGGAACCUGAAAGUCCAUCUAUUUCAAGCCCUUCAUCUUACAACCGGAGCCUGAGGCUUGGUGCUGGCAGGGAAGGUGGAGACUGCUGGUAGAGCUCAAGUGAGGGACCAGCUCUGCUAACAGGACACAGUGGCCAGGGUGCUGCUGGGACCGGGUCUGGGCUGUGCCACCCACUUUCCGAGUGAUCUGGUGGAGUCACCCAGCUCCGAGUAGGAUGAAAUUCCUGCUUGGCCACACUCCUGCACCUCAAACCCCAGGAUUUAGGGUUGCUGAAGAUUUUGCAACACCCGGAGAAGCACAGUAACUUCAUGAGAAGUUACUGACCCCGCCUUUCUCGGAACACAAUAAUCCCCUUUCCAGACACAUUUCUCUUGAAAACUCCAGUGACAGGGAACUUACACCUGUCAGAGCACCCUAUACUUGCCCUAGACCAGUGAUGGCGAACCUAUGACACGCGUGUCAGAGGUGACACACGAACUCAUUUUUUUGGUUGAUUUUUCUUUGUUAAAUGGCAUUGACAUAUAUAAAAUAAAUAUCAAAAAUAUAAAUCUUUGUUUUACUAUGGUUGCAAAUAUCAAAAAAUUUCUAUAUGCGACACGGCACCAGAGUUAAGUUAGGGUCUUUCAAAAUGCUGACAUGCCGAGCUCAAAAGGUUCGCUAUCACUGCCCUAGACAGUUUGGGCUGAAACAUUCAUUUCUGGGGUGGUCCACUUUAAGGUACAUCUUCCCCAAUUUCAUAGGAGCUCCGUGAGGGCGAGAACUUUGUCCUGGUCCAUCACUGCUCCAUCCCAGCGCCUCCCAGUGUCCAGACCAUGGUUAAAGAGCCCCGAAAAGACCAGCCAGUUCUUUCUCAUGUGAACUGAGAAUCUGUCUCCUAGAGCUUCUCCCCAUGGGCCCUCACUGUUUCCCCACAAAUCCUUCAUGGAGCCCACAUGAAACAAGGCUCUUUCUUCCUUCCCCUAACAAUGAUCAUGUCCUCCCCCAAGUCUGGCAACCACCCCAAGAAGUCUUCUCUUUUCUCGGCUAAGCAUUCCUGGUGAGUCAUGACUUGGAGGCCUCCCCCCCUCUGAAGCCUUCAGUGGCUCCCUAGGCCAAUUACAGUUUCAGGUCCUUAGUCUGGCACGUAAGGCCCUCCAGCGUAUGCUCAGCCUUAACUCCAUUAUUUUCUACCGCUCUUCCACGGACUCUGCAGCAAAACAUGUCUAAUCGUUUUCCCUGGAGCCCAACCCGAUUGUUCCUGCCUCUACCCUGUUUAUAAAAUGCCCUGCCUGGAACAUUUCCCUAGUUCAUCUGCAUCCAGAUCUCAUCAUUACUAAGGCUGAACGCAAUUCUCCCCCUCCACCUCAUCAUUUCAGUGUAUUGUGGAAAGAGAGUUUGCAAUGAACUAAGCGAACCCAGGUUUAAGUCUCGGAGACACAUUCUAACUACUAGGAACACCUAUUUUGACAACCAAAUGGACUACGGGCAAAUGGUUUAACUUCGCUGAGCCUAAGGUUUCUCCUCUGAAAAAUGGGUCUAAUGAUACCCGCACUGCUCACCCUCCAGAGCAUUCUGGGGAAUCAGGAGACGAUACACAUAAAAGCCCAUUGAAAAUGACAAGAUGCACUGACUUCCCUACUUCUGGGCGUCUUGAAUAUGCCCCGACUUAGAUCAAACAAUACACAAUCUAAAUCGGUUAGAUGAUUCUAGAAUUAGUGGAGUGAUCACCAUGUAAGGGAUACAAAUGUUGAAUCACUGUAUUGUACACCGGAAAUUAAUAUAACCAAUAUGAAAUUGUAUAACAAUGAUACCUAAAUAAAAAUAAAAAUGUUGAAGUCUGUUAGGAUGGAGGGGGUCUAAGAUGUGGUGAGGGAGGUUGGUUUGACUUUGGGUGGUGGGCACACAGUGCAGUAGGCAGGUCUUGUAUCAUAGAAAUGUACACGUGAAACCUAUAUGAUCUUAUUAACCAAUGUCAACCCAAUAAAUGUAAUUUUAAAAAUAAACAAAGAAAAACCUGGCAGUGGUAAGGUUCUUAAGGAGGGAGCACAGGCGUCUGCAUGGCCAACAUUUCCCGCCCCCAGGCUCUGUGUUAAGAGUUGCACCUCAAACUGGGUGGAGGGGAGCUAUGGGGGGAAAAAGGGGGAACAACUGUA